CCCAUGGACAGCAUUGGCAUGCUAUGGUCAUGAAGAGUCACGUGACUGAAAUGACUGAACAACAGUAACAAAGGACUAGGCAAAUCAAUCCACCUUUGGAGUUCCUCAUCAGUAACAAUCCUCACCCUCCCUACGUCCAGGAUGCGCAGUGAAGAAAGCGCUAGAUUUAUUGUAGGGGUUCCUGCCAAACACUCACAACUAAUGUUGACCCUGUGGUUGUUUCGUGCUUCUCAGAAUUAUUCCUCUUCCAAGAAAUGGCUCAACACUUGGAAAGUCAGAAAGACAACGUGUACUGAAGAUGGCCAUGCUCAAUCAGUUGGCGAAAUCUGUUUGCAGCCUUUCUCUUUCCCGGUAACUAACUUCUGAAUCCCCAAAUGCGUCUGGCUGGAUCUCACGACUGCUCCCACUCCACGUGGGCUGCCCCAGAGACGGAGCACGUAGGUGCCUUCCUAGGGGACGAAAAUUUAUAUUCUCAAGAUACUUCUGAAAGAAAAUAGGUAGCGCGAAUAUAAUUGGAUGCUGAAGUCAUUUUGCCACCAUCUUUUCUGCCUUGUUUUUCUUUCUCCCUUUUAGAUUGAAUGCCAUUGUUGUUGUCAUCCUUCAUUUUGGAAGAGGACCAAAAUGGCAUCCCUAUGCUAGAUUCAAGUUUCAGUGUGUCUGCCUGUGGCUGA